CAGUCGCCGCGGGAAUACGUAGGUCCCGAGCGUUGUCCGGAUUUAUUGGGCGUAAAGCGAGCGCAGGCGGUUAGAUAAGUCUGAAGUUAAAGGCUGUGGCUUAACCAUAGUACGCUUUGGAAACUGUUUAACUUGAGUGCAAGAGGGGAGAGUGGAAUUCCAUGUGUAGCGGUGAAAUGCGUAGAUAUAUGGAGGAACACCGGUGGCGAAAGCGGCUCUCUGGCUUGUAACUGACGCUGAGGCUCGAAAGCGUGGGGAGCAAACAGGAUUAGAUACCCCAGUAGUCCCUGUCUCUUAUACC
rnacentral:rRNA from 1 species